AUGAACAUCAAUCUCACUAUCAUUUAUGGCCCAAUAUUCCUAACCCUAACACAGUCAUCUACAUUGGCACUGCAACUCAAUCGGAUAGUAGCCGCGGUUUCUUCUUCUUCAUCCUCAAUCAAAUUGCACGAAAAAGAAUUUUUCUUCUUCAUCAACUUCAAUUUUCAGAAAAGAGCACGAAUCGCACGAAAAAGGUACGCCGAAACCCUAAUUCUCGAACUUUUAUUUUUUCUAAGAAGAAUAUUAUCUUUCGCUGUUUUAUGGUCACAAUUGAGUUAG